UAGCAAUAUCAUAGUGGCGCACGGGUGCGUAACACGUAUGCAACCUACCUAUUAUUGGGGGAUAGCCUUUGGAAACGGAGAUUAAUACCGCAUAAUACGAUUGACUGGCAUCGGUUGAUUGUUAAAGCUUUGGCGGUAAUAGAUGGGCAUGCGUCCAAUUAGUUAGUUGGUUAGGUAACGGCUGACCAAGACGAUGAUUGGUAGGGGAUCUGAGAGGAUAAUCCCCCACACUGGCACUGAGAUACGGGCCAGACUCCUACGGGAGGCAGCAGUAGGGAAUAUUGGACAAUGGGCGGAAGCCUGACCCAGCCAUGCCGCGUGCAGGAAGAAGGCGUUAUGCGUUGUAAACUGCUUUUUUAUAGGAAGAAGGAUCCCUUGCGAGGGAAGGUGACGGUACUAUAAGAAUAAGCACCGGCUAACUCCGUGCCAGCAGCCGCGGUAAUACGGAGGGUGCAAGCGUUGUCCGGAUUUAUUGGGUUUAAAGGAUGCGUAGGCGGUUUAUUAAGUCAGUGGUGAAAGACGGUCGCUCAACGAUUGCAGUGCCAUUGAUACUGGUAGACUUGAGUGAG
rnacentral:rRNA from 1 species